AACGAACGCUGGCGGCAUGCCUAACACAUGCAAGUCGAACGAUGCCUUCGGGCAUAGUGGCGCACGGGUGCGUAACGCGUGGGAAUCUGCCUUUCGGUUCGGAAUAACUCAGGGAAACUUGAGCUAAUACCGGAUAACGUCGCAAGACCAAAGAUUUAUCACCGAAAGAUGAGCCCGCGUAGGAUUAGCUAGUUGGUGAGGUAAAGGCUCACCAAGGCGACGAUCCUUAGCUGGUCUGAGAGGAAGAUCAGCCACACUGGGACUGAGACACGGCCCAGAAUCCUACGGGAGGCAGCAGAGGGGAAUAUUGGACAAUGGGCGAAAGCAUGAUCCAGCAAUGCCGCGUGAGUGAUGAAGGCCUUAGGGUUGUAAAGCUCUUUUACCCGGGAAGAUAAUGACGGUACCGGGAGAAUAAGCCCCGGCUAACUCCGUG
rnacentral:rRNA from 1 species